UACGUAGGGUGCGAGCGUUGUCCGGAAUUAUUGGGCGUAAGGAGCUUGUAGGCGGACUGUCGCGUCGGAUGUGAAAGCCCGGGGCUUAACCCCGGGUCUGCAUUCGAUACGGGCAGACUAGAGUGUGGUAGGGGAGAUCGGAAUUCCUGGUGUAGCGGUGAAAUGCGCAGAUAUCAGGAGGAACACCGGUGGCGAAGGCGGAUCUCUGGGCCAUUACUGACGCUGAGGAGCGAAAGCGUGGGGAGCAAACAGG
rnacentral:rRNA from 1 species